rnacentral:rRNA from 1 species
ACGGAAGGCAGCAGUGGGGGAUAUUGGACAAUGGGCGAAAGCCUGAUCCAGCGACGCCGCGUGAGUGAAGAAGUAUUUCGGUAUGUAAAGCUCUAUCAGCAGGGAAGAUAAUGACGGUACCUGACUAAGAAGCCCCGGCUAACUACGUGCCAGCAGCCGCGGUAAUACGUAGGGGGCAAGCGUUAUCCGGAGUUACUGGGUGUAAAGGGAGCGUAGACGGUAUGGCAAGUCUGAUGUGAAAACCCAGGGCUCAACCCUGGGACUGCAUUGGAAACUGUCAAACUAGAGUGCAGGAGAGGUAAGUGGAAUUCCUAGUGUAGCGGUGAAAUGCGUUGAUAUUAGGAGGAACACCAGUGGCGAAGGCGGCUUACUGGACUGUAACUGACGUUGAGGCUCGAAAGCGUGGGGAGCAAACAGGAUUAGAUACCCUGGUA